rnacentral:rRNA from 1 species
UACGUAGGGGGCAAGCGUUGUCCGGAUUUAUUGGGCGUAAAGAGCGUGUAGGCGGCCAGGUAGGUCCGCUGUGAAAACUCGAGGCUCAACCUCGAGAUGUCGGCGGAAACCAUCUGGCUAGAGUCCGGAAGAGGAGAGUGGAAUUCCUGGUGUAGCGGUGAAAUGCGCAGAUAUCAGGAAGAACACCCGUGGCGAAGGCGGCUCUCUGGGCCGGUACUGACGCUGAGACGCGAAAGCGUGGGGAGCGAACAGG